rnacentral:rRNA from 1 species
CCUACGGGGGGCAGCAGUGGGGAAUAUUGCACAAUGGGGGAAACCCUGAUGCAGCGACGCCGCGUGAGUGAAGAAGUAUUUCGGUAUGUAAAGCUCUAUCAGCAGGGAAGAAAAUGACGGUACCUGAUUAAGAAGCCCCGGCUAAAUACGUGCCAGCAGCCGCGGUAAUACGUAGGGGGCAAGCGUUAUCCGGAUUUACUGGGUGUAAAGGGGGCGUAGACGGCAGCACAAGUCUGGAGGGAAAUGCCGGGGCUUAACCCCGGAACUGCUUUGGAAACUGUGCAGCUAGAGUGCAGGAGAGGUAAGUGGAAUUCGUAGUGUAGCGGUGAAAUGCGUAGAUAUUAGGAGGAACACCAGUGGCGAAGGCGGCUUACUGGACUGUAACUGACGUUGAGGCUCGAAAGCGUGGGGAGCAAACAGGAUUAGAUACCCCAGUAGUC